AAGUGUUUCAGCUCUUGUAGAAUUUGUCUAGAAGGCUUUCUGCUCCUUAGUCAGAUAGGCCCAA
rnacentral:snRNA from 1 species